CUGGUAUUGAUUGGUGCUUGCAUCAUGAUUUACAUUUGAGUGAGUGGCGAACUGGUGAGUAACACGUGGGAAACCUGCCCAGAAGCGGGGGAUAACACCUGGAAACAGAUGCUAAUACCGCAUAACAACUUGGACCGCAUGGUCCGAGUUUGAAAGAUGGCUUCGGCUAUCACUUUUGGAUGGUCCCGCGGCGUAUUAGCUAGAUGGUGGGGUAACGGCUCACCAUGGCAAUGAUACGUAGCCGACCUGAGAGGGUAAUCGGCCACAUUGGGACUGAGACACGGCCCAAACUCCUACGGGAGGCAGCAGUAGGGAAUCUUCCACAAUGGACGAAAGUCUGAUGGAGCAACGCCGCGUGAGUGAAGAAGGGUUUCGGCUCGUAAAACUCUGUUGUUAAAGAAGAACAUAUCUGAGAGUAACUGUUCAGGUAUUGACGGUAUUUAACCAGAAAGCCACGGCUAACUACGUGCCAGCAGCCGCGGUAAUACGUAGGUGGCAAGCGUUGUCCGGAUUUAUUGGGCGUAAAGCGAGCGCAGGCGGUUUUUUAAGUCUGAUGUGAAAGCCUUCGGCUCAACCGAAGAAGUGCAUCGGAAACUGGGAAACUUGAGUGCAGAAGAGGACAGUGGAACUCCAUGUGUAGCGGUGAAAUGCGUAGAUAUAUGGAAGAACACCAGUGGCGAAGGCGGCUGUCUGGUCUGU
rnacentral:rRNA from 1 species